rnacentral:rRNA from 1 species
AGGACGAACGCUGGCGGCGUGCUUAACACAUGCAAGUCGAGCGGAAAGGCCCUUCGGGGUACUCGAGCGGCGAACGGGUGAGUAACACGUGAGCAACCUGCCCUUAGCUUCGGGAUAGCUCCGGGAAACCGGAAUUAAUACCGAAUAUGAUUUUUGCUGACAUCAGCAGAAGUGGAAAGUUUUUCGGCUAGGGAUGGACUCGCGGCCUAUCAGCUAGUUGGUGAGGUAACGGCCCACCAAGGCGACGACGGGUAGCCGGCCUGAGAGGGCGACCGGCCACACUGGGACUGAGACACGGCCCAGACUCCUACGGGAGGCAGCAGUGGGGAAUAUUGCGCAAUGGGCGAAAGCCUGACGCAGCGACGCCGCGUGGGGGAUGAAUGCCUUCGGGUUGUAAACCCCUUUCAGCAGGACGAAGCGAAAGUGACGGUACCUGCAGAAGAAGCGCCGGCUAACUACGCGCCAGCAGCCGC